rnacentral:precursor_RNA from 12 species
UGGAUUUUCUUGCAGGAGGCUGUGGCCUGGUUCAAGUAAUCCAGGAUAGGCUGUAUCCAUUCUAACUCGCCUAUUCUUGGUUACUUGCACUGGGACAGGGCCACAACUGUGUGACCCAGGA